rnacentral:rRNA from 1 species
UACGUAGGGUGCGAGCGUUGUCCGGAAUUAUUGGGCGUAAAGAGCUCGUAGGCGGUCUGUCGCGUCUGCUGUGAAAUCCCGAGGCUCAACCUCGGGCCUGCAGUGGGUACGGGCAGACUAGAGUGCGGUAGGGGAGAUUGGAAUUCCUGGUGUAGCGGUGGAAUGCGCAGAUAUCAGGAGGAACACCGAUGGCGAAGGCAGAUCUCUGGGCUGUAACUGACGCUGAGGAGCGAAAGCGUGGGGAGCGAACAGG